rnacentral:rRNA from 1 species
UACGUAGGGGGCAAGCGUUGUCCGGAUUUAUUGGGCGUAAAGAGCGUGUAGGCGGCCAAGCAGGUCUGCUGUGAAAACUCGAGGCUCAACCUCGAGACGUCGGUGGAAACCGCUUGGCUAGAGUCCGGAAGAGGAGAGUGGAAUUCCCGGUGUAGCGGUGAAAUGCGCAGAUAUCGGGAAGAACACCCGUGGCGAAGGCGGCUCUCUGGGACGGUACUGACGCUGAGACGCGAAAGCGUGGGGAGCGAACAGG